UCCUCCCACACACCCCAUCUCCCCCUCUCGCAUUCCCCCUCACACUCCCCAGCCCUGUCUAUCCCCUCCCAUUCUCUCGCCCCAUCACCAUACACCCCUGCCUCUACCCUGUCCUGUUCUGCUCCUCCUUGCGUGACACACUCUACCCCCUGGCGAUGGUGAACCUAGACUAACGGAAAAUGGAGAAUAUGAUGUUUGGUGGAGAAUAUGAUGAUGAAAGGUGUGAGGAAAAUGGAAAUAAAGGAACAAGGAAAGGAGAAAUUGAAUCCAAACUUUCGGACAACUUGCGGAAAAGGGAAAAAAAGAAUACGAUGAUGAAGAUUAGGUUGAUGAAGACCAGUGACUAGAUAUGAAACCAAGAGAAAUGAGGAACGAGAGAGUGAAUCCAGACUUUCGGACAGCUUGCGGAAAAGGGAAAAAGAACGAAGAUGAAAUGGAAAAAAAACUUGAUUAAACGUUCGCAAAAAAAUGGCAGAAGACACAAAACGGACACAAACUUACACAAACAGAACAAAACAACGGAACUUACAAGAAUAUGCAAACAAACGAACAAACAAACAAACAGGAAUUAUAAACAGAGGAAUGAACACAAACAGAGAUACAUAAAAAAUAAAUGAAAAGAAAUAAGAAUAAAUGAAAGAACUGACAAAUAGGAGUUGAAAAAAAGGAAAUAUGAAGAAAAUAAAAUGAAAAUAUAAAGAAAAUGAUCAGACAAACAUCCCCACAAACGUUACAGACCAAAAACAAAGGAAACAAAUUAAACGAGAAUGAACCAAACACCACAGCGCCAGUUUGUGUGUGGGCGUGUGUAUGUGUGUGUGUGUGUGCGUUUGUGUUUAUACCGAGAGCGAAUUGGGAGUGUGGAAUGACCCCCGUGAUGUGUCAGUGUUUCGCCUAAGUAAGCGUAACAAAAACUCCGCCUUCGGUGUUUUAGCGGAAAGAAUAUAUGAGGUGUUUUAUGCCAAGAUUUUGAUGAAGUAAGCGUAACAAAACUCAGCCUUCAGCGUUUUAGCGGAAAGAAUAUUUGAGGUGUUUUACGGAAAGAUUAUCACAAACAUUAUAUCAAAGGAAGAGAAGACAGUGGCUUUUGGAAGAUUAUGAAAAAAACUAUAAUAUUUGAGGUGUUUUAUGGAAAGAUUUUGACAAAGUAAGCAUAACAAAACUCAUCCUUCAGUGUUUUAACGGAAAGAAUAUUUGAGGUGUUUGACGGAAAGAUUGCCCAAACAUUAGAUCAAGGAAGAGAUGAAUGAGUUUUAUGGAAGAUUAUGAAAAACAAGAACAUUUAGGUGUGUUUUAAAGAAAGAAAAAUAAAGAACUUCUGUGUUUUAGCGGCAAGAAUAUUUGAGGUGUUUUAUGGCAAGAUUAUUACAACAUUAGAUCGAGGAACAGAAGAAUUUGGCUUUUGGAAGAUUAUGAAAAGUACAAGAAUAUUUGAGGUGUUUUAUGGCAAGAUUUUGAAGCGUAAAAAAACCCUCAGCCUUAAGUGUUUUAGCGGAAAGAAUAUUUGAGGUGUUUUAUUGAAAGAUUAUCGCAAACAUUAGAUCGAGGAAGAGAAGAAUUUGGCUUUUGGAAGAUUAUGAAAAAGAACAAGAAGAUGAGAAAGAAAUGAAAAUGAUAUUGAAGGAAAGAAAGACUGAAGGAAAAUGGAAGAGAAAUGAAAGGGAGCGGAGAUUGAUGUAAAGAAUAAAUAUAAUGAGAUUGAUGAAGAUCGCAAAGAAAGGGCGGAGGAAGGGAAGAGAAUGUCGACGGAUGAAAGCGGAAAGUGACGAAGCAGAUAGUGAAAAAAAUGUUGAAGCGAAUGUCCGAAAGUGAGUCAUGAGCUUGUUAAAAAGAAAGUGACGUCAAGAAAUUAUAAAAAAAAAUGGAAACACUAUCAAAGAAAACAAAGACGGCAAAUUCAAACAGUGACGGAGAAAAUAAAGAGAAGAAAAAGAAGACAAGGAAAAUAACUUCAAACAAAAACAGUGAAAAAAAAGAACGUAGAAAAUUAAUGAAGAAAAAAAAAAACAAAUUGAAAAAAAAGAAGAAAAAGAAGACAAGGAAAAUAACUUCAAACAAAAACAGUGAAAAAAAAAAUCGUAGAAAAUAAAUGAAGAAAAAAAAACAAA